ensembl:misc_RNA Metazoa_SRP Metazoan signal recognition particle RNA
GCCAGUCGCAGUGGCAGCCUAUAGUCCCAGCUACUUGAGAGGCUGAGGCAAGACAAUGGUUUGAGCCCUGGAGUUCUGGGAUAGAAUGUACUGUGCUGAUCUGGUGUCUGCACUAAAUUCUGCAUCGGCAUAGUGACCUCCCGGAAGCAGGGACCGCUAGGUUCCCCAAGGAGGAGUGAACUGGACCAGGUCAGAAAUAGCAGAUCAAAACUGCCACGCUGGACCGGGUGAAGUGGCUCACACCUGUAAUCCCAGCACUUUGGGGGCCCAAGGCAGGUGGAUCACUUGAGGUCAGGAGUUCGAGACCAGCCUGGCCAACAUGAUGAAAUCCCAUCUCU